CACACAUUUUAGGGGCCGGAGGACGUUCGGCCUCUGUGAGCCGCAGCCUUUCCAAGGGAGUGGUUGUGUGGUCGCCAUCUUAGGGAAAAGAUGUUCUCGUCCGUGGCGCACCUGGCGCGGGCGAACCCCUUCAACACGCCACAUUUGCAGCUGGUGCACGAUGGCCUCGGGGACUUCCGCAGCAGUCCCCCAGGGCCCACGGGUCAGCCCCGCCGCCCUCGCAACCUGGCAGCCGCCGCUGUGGAAGGUGAGAUCAGACCCUGCCCAAUACAGUCGUGUGGUCUACUCGUGGUCCGCCCAGCGUUUGAGGCCUGGACCCGGCUUGCAGGACAGGGAAGGACGAGUCCAGCCCGCUGCAUCGUAGGACGGCGCCCAGUUGCUUACCCUGGGAUAUCGGCGUUUUCCACCAUAGGCAGGUGUCAGAUCCUUGGCCUUCCCUCAAGGGCGUGGAAGGGCUGAGGCCCUGUGUCCCUUCGUGACCUCCAUGUCCCCGAGGGAAGAGAGGCCAUGACUAGCUCCUUCUCUGCCUUGAGCUCGCUUGGUCAGCCAACUAAGUAUUGGGUAAAGUCUCCUCCCGAAACUACUGACCACCCAUAGUUCUACUAACUAUAUUACCUGUCCUUUGAUUUGCCCUUAGUUUUCUUAAAAAUAGUCGUUUCCUAAGUUUUAUAUUUGUCGACGCCAGGUCAGUCAUUUUUGCACUUAAUUGUAUAUGAGAUAACUAGAUGUCCUGUUUUCAUGCGACUGGAGGAGGCAGCUUGCAGCCCUACAUAGGCAAUAGAAAGGAGAUAAUUGGUGGGCGUCCCUUUGGUGUGAUUAUCUCUUGGGAUUCUUGGUGGUUGGGCCCAGCUUUAACUUAGUUGUGUGUGUUUUAAAUCCUAGUGAAGUAUGUACAUACAGAGAAACCUGAAAACCGAAUUGUAGGAGUCCCAAGAAUGUUAUCUACCUUGUGCCUGUAAAAUCGAAAGAUUUUUUUCUUUAAAUCAUUCAUGUGCUUCUGUUAUGUCUUUAGUAUGGAUAGAGAGUCCUUACUUACACUAUCUGUCGUUCAGUUGAAAAGUUAAAGCUAACAUUAUUCGUGUAUUAAAUGUAUUUGACUGCAGGAAUUUAUGCGUAUCUGUUUUUAUGUUACAGGAGUUCUUAAGUGGGGAUAGUAUUGGUUAGUGGCUAGGAUAAGCUUUGAAGUUGUUUGCAAGCCUUUUACAUGUCGAGUGAUCUUUCUGAGUUUCGUUUGUACUUUGAAGUGUGCUCUUACCAGUGGUUAAUAAUUUGAAGUUUCACUUUAAUUGUAAAAUCCGUUAAUGUAGAAAACUUUAAAAAAAAUUAGUAUGGCAGAAUACGAGCUAUUAAUAGUAUCAGAUACAGAACCCUCAUAAUUUUUAAAUGAUCUGAAUUUGGCAGUGAAUUUUUUUUUUAAGCCACUUAAUUGUGGCCAGAGCUAUUCAGCUGUGAUAAUAGUAUUUCACAGGGAAACAUUUUCUUUCAUUCCAGUGGCCUUAGUCAUCUCUGAAGAAAUACUUACUUGAUUUUUUUUUUUUUUUCCAAUCAGAGCAGUAUAGCUGUGACUAUGGAUCUGGCAGAUUCUUUAUCCUUUGUGGACUUGGAGGAAUUAUUAGCUGUGGCACAACACAUACAGCAUUGGUUCCUCUAGAUCUGGUUAAAUGCAGAAUGCAGGUUUGUUUUGCAUGCUGGACUAGAGCAUAUUGAAGCAUGACUGACUGUUAAGUUAUAAGAUAUAGUCAUCUACUAACAAGCUGUGUGGAAACCUAACUGUCCAGGAGGUAAGUUUAUGACCAGUAACAUGAGUUUUAUAUUAAAAUGCAUGGUGUGUCUUCUCUUACUACAGAGUACAGUUGUGAAUUUGGCUCCGCGAAGUAUUAUGCACUGUGUGGCUUUGGUGGGGUCUUAAGUUGUGGUCUGACACACACUGCUGUGGUUCCCCUGGAUUUAGUGAAAUGCCGUAUGCAGGUGGACCCCCAAAAGUACAAGGGCAUAUUUAACGGAUUCUCAGUUACACUUAAAGAGGAUGGUGUUCGUGGUUUGGCUAAAGGAUGGGCUCCGACUUUCCUUGGCUACUCCAUGCAGGGACUCUGCAAGUUUGGCUUUUAUGAAGUCUUUAAAGUCUUGUAUAGCAACAUGCUUGGAGAGGAGAAUACUUAUCUCUGGCGCACAUCACUAUAUUUGGCUGCCUCUGCCAGUGCUGAAUUCUUUGCUGACAUUGCCCUGGCUCCUAUGGAAGCUGCUAAGGUUCGAAUUCAAACCCAGCCAGGUUAUGCCAACACUUUGAGGGAUGCAGCUCCCAAAAUGUAUAAAGAAGAAGGCCUAAAAGCAUUCUACAAGGGGGUUGCUCCUCUCUGGAUGAGACAGAUACCAUACACCAUGAUGAAGUUCGCCUGCUUUGAACGUACUGUUGAAGCACUGUACAAGUUUGUGGUUCCUAAGCCCCGCAGUGAAUGUUCAAAGCCAGAGCAGCUGGUUGUAACAUUUGUAGCAGGUUACAUAGCUGGAGUCUUUUGUGCAAUUGUUUCUCACCCUGCUGAUUCUGUGGUAUCUGUGUUGAAUAAAGAAAAAGGUAGCAGUGCUUCUCUGGUCCUCAAGAGACUUGGAUUUAAAGGUGUAUGGAAGGGACUGUUUGCCCGUAUCAUCAUGAUUGGUACCCUGACUGCACUACAGUGGUUUAUCUAUGACUCCGUGAAGGUCUACUUCAGGCUCCCUCGCCCUCCUCCACCCGAGAUGCCAGAGUCUCUGAAGAAGAAGCUUGGGUUAACUCAGUAGAUGGAUCAAAGCAAAUGUGGACUGAAUCUGCUUGUUGAUCAGUGUUGAAGAAAGUGCAAAAGGAACUUUUAUAUAUUUGACAGUGUAGGAAAUUGUCUAUUCCUGAUAUAAUUACUGUAGUACUCUUGCUUAAGGCAAGAGUUCCAAAUUUACUGUUGAAAUAAACCUAACUCUUCAUGAUUUGCCUGUGACUUAUUUUAAAAACUUCUUAAAAAAAGAUUUAGCUUUAAAAUAGUUGGAAAGAAUGAAGUAUAAGUUAAGGAAAAAAUACAAAACUGACCAUUGUUGGUUGAAUAUUCCAGUUGCUAUUCAGAAAUUGUCAUAUGUCUCAAGUUUUAUCACACAAAGUUCCUGUAUUUCUAGGGAAGCAGACUUUAAAUUCCUAAAAACUUGAUUUAAUUAUAGUUAAAUAUGUGUAGUCAUUUGUGGUUAUUUUGGCAAGUAAAUGUUAGUGUAUACUU
rnacentral:sRNA from 1 species